rnacentral:rRNA from 1 species
UCGGGGUGAUGUUUAUGGAAUGAGCGGCGGACGGGUGAGUAACACGUGGGCAACCUGCCUGUAAGAUCGGGAUAACUCGCGGAAACGUGAGCUAAUACCGGAUAACACUUUUCAUCUCAUGGUGAGAAGAUAAAAGACGGUUUCGGCUGUCACUUACAGAUGGGCCCGCGGCGCAUUAGCUAGUUGGUGAGGUAACGGCUCACCAAGGCGACGAUGCGUAGCCGACCUGAGAGGGUGAUCGGCCACACUGGGACUGAGACACGGCCCAGACUCCUACGGGAGGCAGCAGUAGGGAAUCUUCCGCAAUGGACGAAAGUCUGACGGAGCAACGCCGCGUGAGUGAUGAAGGUUUUCGGAUCGUAAAACUCUGUUGUUAGGGAAGAACAAGUUGGGUAGUAACUGACCCAACCUUGACGGUACCUAACCAGAAAGCCACGGCUAACUACGUGCCAGCAGCCGCGGUAAUACGUAGGUGGCAAGCGUUGUCCGGAAUUAUUGGGCGUAAAGCGCUCGCAGGCGGUCUUUUAAGUCUGAUGUGAAAGCCCACGGCUUAACCGUGGAGGGUCAUUGGAAACUGGAGGACUUGAGUACAGAAGAGGAG